UUUGAAGGGUAGUCAAAAAAUUUUCUAAGUUCGAAGGUCGAAAAUUUUUUGAGAGUUCCGGGUAGUUCUGAUCAGAGUUCUGGACAGUUCUCGACGAGUUGUAACAAAAAGUCUUAUGACUCAACGCGAUCGGAUCUACGGUUAGCAAGAUAUCCGAUAUUUGAAAGGUG